UUCCUUCUUAUUUUUCUUUCUCUCUUUUUAGGCUUCCCUCUUUCUCUCUAAAAUUUUUAAAAUGGAAGAAUGGAAGAUGGUGGGAAAAAUGAGGGAAAAAGGCUCUUUAAAUAUCCAAGGGAAGGGUCUUGGAUGUGCACCACGUGGCAACCAUAUGGAAAGACACGUGGUAGGUGGUUGAGGGGCAAGGUUAUCGGGGCAUGGGGCAGCAUGCCCACGGAUGUGACAAGUUCGCAAAUGGGACAUGUUGUCACAUUUGCGUGCGAAUAGGCAUGUCCGUGUGGUAGGAGGCCUAUCUGCGUAGCUGCUUG
rnacentral:lncRNA from 1 species